AACCUAGCACACCUGCGGUGUGUACCUGCGGAAGGAUCAUUACAGAGUUGCAAAACUCCCUAAACCAUUGUGAACCUACCUUCUACCGUUGCUUCGGCGGGCGGGCCUAGCGCCCCCCCGGCCCCCCGCGGGCGCCCGCCGGAGGAUAACCAAACUCUUGACAUCAGUGGCCUCUCUGAGUAUUCUUUACUGAAUAAGUCAAAACUUUCAACAACGGAUCU
rnacentral:misc_RNA from 1 species